GACUAGAGUUUGAUCCUGGCUCAGAACGAACGCUGGCGGCAGGCUUAACACAUGCAAGUCGAACGCUCGUAGCAAUACGGGAGUGGCAGACGGGUGAGUAACGCGUGGGAACAUACCCUUUGGUUCGGAAUAACUGAGAGAAAUUUCAGCUAAUACCGGAUGAGCCCUACGGGGGAAAGAUUUAUCGCCAAAGGAUUGGCCCGCGUCUGAUUAGCUAGUUGGUGAGGUAACGGCCCACCAAGGCGACGAUCAGUAGCUGGUCUGAGAGGAUGAUCAGCCACACUGGGACUGAGACACGGCCCAGACUCCUACGGGAGGCAGCAGUGGGGAAUAUUGGACAAUGGGGGCAACCCUGAUCCAGCCAUGCCGCGUGAGUGAUGAAGGCCUUAGGGUUGUAAAGCUCUUUCGUCAGGGAAGAUAAUGACGGUACCUGAAGAAGAAGCCCCGGCUAACUUC
rnacentral:rRNA from 1 species